AGAUGCUUUGUCUAGGAAAUCUAUUCAUGAGGAGCAGCUUACUAUGACCCUUCAAUCUUCUCUACAACCUACUUGGAUGUCCCAAUUAAUUGCUAGCUAUGAAGGGGACUCUAUUGCUAAAGAUUUAAUAAUUCAUCUUUCUUUAGAUGAAGCUGCUCACCCUCGAUACACUUAUAAGGAAGGGUUGUUAUUUUUCAAAGGCAAGCUGUAUGUGGGUAUAGCACGAAAAUUGAGAGAGCAACUCCUGGAUAUCUAUCAUAUCUCUUGUUUGCGUGGACAUUCAGGUAUCAAUGCCACAUAUGUCAGGUUCAGUAGACAUUUUUACUGGCCAGGUAUGAUGAAAUCUGUUAUAGAUUGGGUAAAGGCCUGUGAUACUGGUGCUAGAUGUAAGGUGGAGCAUUGUGGUACAUCUGGACUGUUGUAGCCCUUGACAGUCCCAACACAAGCCUGGCAGCAUAUUACUAUGGAUUUCAUUAAACAAAUGCCUAAGUCUCAAGGAAAAGACACUAUUCUUGUUGUUAUUUGCUUAUUAACCAAGUAUGCACACUUCAUUCCUCUCCAACAUCCGUUCACUGCUUCUGGGGUUGCCAAAAUAUUCAUGGAUACAAUCUUCAAGCUACAUGGCAUACCACUAUCAAUAGUCUGACAGAGACAGAAUUUUUUCUAGCUUAUUCUGGAAGGAAUUGUUCAAGACUCUGGGAACUACUCUUGCUUAUAGCACUGCCUACCAUCCACAAUCAGAUGAACAAUCCGAGAGACUCAAUCAGUGUGUAGAGGGCUAUUUGAGAUGUUUGAGUUACUAGAAACCAUAGUCUUGGUCUAAGUGGCUUUCUUUGGCAGAAUGGUGGUCUAACACCAUUCAUCAUAGUGCCUUAAAGCCUUAAAAAUGUCCCCAUUUGAGGCAUUAUAUAGAUAUAAGCCACCUUCAUUAGCACUCCUUCCUACCGUCAUUACUAUGGUUGGCGCAGUUUCAUACUUGAUUUCAGAAAGAAAACACAUGUCUCAAUUCCUUAGGGACAAUUUGUUGGCUGCACAAAACCGUAUGAAGCAGUAUGCAGGUCUGAAAGAGUGUUUGAUGUGGGGGAUUGGGUUUACCUUAAAUUGCAGCCCUAUAGACAAACAUCCCUUGAUGUCAAGAAAAAUCUCAAGUUAGCUGCUAGAUUCUAUGGCCCUUAUGAGAUUCUUGAUAGAAUUGGUGAAGUAGACUAUAAGCUGAAAUUGCCUGAGUCAGCUCAAAUUCACCCUGUUUUUCAUGUCUCACUCCUCAAGAAGAAAUUAAGUCAGCAGGCUGUUGUGAUUCAGGAUUUACCCACUUUUCAGGAUGAACAAAUUGUUAUUGCACCAGCCAAAGUCCUAAAGACUAGAAUUAUACACAGGAAUGGACAGAAGGUAUUACAAGGACUCAUUCAAUGGCUCAACCUCCCUGAAGAAGAAGCUACUUGGGAAGAUCAGACUUUUCUCUUAAGUCAGUUUUCAGAAUUCAAAACAGUUUUCGGAAUUCAAAACUUCUUGGGGUCAAGAAGUUUCUCAUGGGAAGGUAUUAUCACAUAUUAUAGGAAAAGGAAGAGGGCUAAUAUGUAAUAAUGAGUGAGAGAGUAGUUGUUUUGGAGGGAAAGUUAGUUUUUGGGGUUUUGGAAAAUAGUAAAAGUAAUAACAGAAUUCUGUUAGAGCUGUUGACAGCUCAGAUAGGCAGUCAUGCUACUUGUAUAAGAAUAGCAAUGUAAUGCUGUAUUGGACAUCGGAAAAAAAAUUCAAAUGAUAGAAAUCUCUCCCUUCUUUCUCCUCUCGUCUCAUAUUCUUUUUUUCCUCAUCUCAGAUUUAUUUCUUUGAUCAUCAAAUUUCCUUUCCUCUGUAUAGAUUUUGAGUGAGAAACAGCGGAGAUAUUAUAGAAACCUUCAAAAUGAAUUAAUUAAAAAGUUAACAAGAUGUAAGCUGACAUAUUUGUCAUUUUAAAAAUUUUAUCAACUGAUACUCUUUGUCAUU
rnacentral:misc_RNA from 1 species